rnacentral:rRNA from 1 species
GUAGGGUGCGAGCGUUAAUCGGAAUUACUGGGCGUAAAGCGUGCGCAGGCGGUUCGCUAAGACCGAUGUGAAAUCCCCGGGGCUUAACCUGGGAACUGCAUUGGUGACUGGCGGGCUAGAGUAUGGCAGAGGGGGGUAGAAUUCCACGUGUAGCAGUGGAAUGCGUAGAGAUGUGGAGGAAUACCGAUGGCGAAGGCAGCCCCCUGGGCCAAUACUGACGCUCAUGCACGAAAGCGUGGGGAGCAAACAGGAUUAGAUACCCUGGUAGUCCACGCCCUAAACGAUGUCAACUAGUUGUCGGGUCUUCAUUGACUUGGUAACGUAGCUAACGCGUGAAGUUGACCGCCUGGGGAGUACGGUCGCAAGAUUA